rnacentral:rRNA from 1 species
UACGGAGGGUGCGAGCGUUGUCCGGAAUCACUGGGCGUAAAGGGCGCGUAGGUGGCGUCGCAAGUCAACGGUGAAAGCUCGACGCUCAACGUCGAGUCGGCCGUCGAGACUGCGAGGCUUGAGCACUGUAGAGGCAGAUGGAAUUCCGGGUGUAGCGGUGGAAUGCGUAGAGAUCCGGAAGAACACCGGUGGCGAAGGCGGUCUGCUGGGCAGUUGCUGACACUGAGGCGCGGACAGCGUGGGGGAGCAAACAGGG